UCUUUUAGCUCUGACAGAGCUCUUGAUACAAUGAAUAUCAGUUUGUAAGAGCUAAAAAUGAGUUUUAGAUGUACUUUAAAGCAGAGCUUUUUCUUUGAUAAUUACUUGUACCUCUACUUGAGUAUGGAGAUUGUGUACUCCACGGCCACCUCUGAUCACCAGGGAGUCAGUCAAGAGCGAUGAGCCUGGGGGAACUGGGGAAGCCCAACAGGCGGCGCAUGGACUUAAAUGGGCUGCCGGGCGGAUUACAAGACCGUGAAAAGGGCGAUCCUGGACCGACUGGGCUGCAGCCCGGAGGAUUACCGGCGCCGGUUCCGGACGGCGAACCUGUUGGCGGAUGACCGUCCCUUCGCCUACGCCCAAAGGCUAACCCACAUGGCCCGGCGUUGGCUACAACCAGAGAUCCGGUCCGCCGGGGGCGUGGUGGAGCAGGUCAUAUUGGAACAGUUCCUUUCUACCAGUUUUACAUGACUUGUCUACUGUGGUGUGACUCCUAUUUGAUUUGAAAUUUCAUACUUUUAAUAUGUCUCAAAAAUACACAUUUUCCAGCAAUAUGCUUGCCACCAUAAAAUGAUGAAAGUUUCACGUGAGGUCAUUCUUUUUUAUUAUGUGAAACACACAAAAGUUUAAAAUUCAAGCCCAGAUGUUUCAGUUAAAUGACCUUCAGCAUGUGCCAGUGCCACACUUUAUAAUACACCUGUGGUAGGGUGGGCGUGGUUUUGCGUUGGCUGCAGAGAGAGAGUGGGCGGGGCGGCUCUCGGAACUCUGCGCCACGGCUGUUGGGGAUUAUUAAUCAGCACUGAUGGUUAAUUGUUUGAUUGAUGGACAAUGUGCUGAUUACCUCGACAGUGAGCCUGGACGCUUAAAAAGCGGGUCGACAGAGAGAGGAAGGAGAAACGGAAGAAGAGCUGACGGACAGUCAGCUGGGAAUUGUGUAUUGUGUAUUGUGUAUUGUGUCUUGUUGUAAAUUGCGAACAGAAAGCCGCGUGGCGGCCGUAAAAUAAAAAAGACGCAGUCGCGUCCAAAGAAA